UACGAGGGGUGCAAGCGUUACUCGGAAUUACUGGGCGUAAAGCGUGCGUAGGUGGUUUGUUAAGUCUGUUGUGAAAGCCCCGGGCUCAACCUGGGAAUGGCAAUGGAUACUGGCAGGCUAGAGUGCGGUAGAGGGUAGUGGAAUUCCCGGUGUAGCGGUGAAAUGCGUAGAGAUCGGGAGGAACACCAGUGGCGAAGGCGGCUACCUGGACCAGCACUGACACUGAGGCACGAAAGCGUGGGGAGCAAACAGG
rnacentral:rRNA from 1 species